CCUUAUUGCAGGUGUGUGGAUUAGACUCAGUAACAUUAUUGGAAUAUGAAAUUGAAUUGCACGGUCGUUAUAUCAUAUCAUAUUUUGUUGUACUGUUUGCCGUGUCUUUCUUCUGAAAUAGUAAUAACCUCACAAAGUCGUUGAAAAGCACUACACUUUAAUUUUUAUUCAUUAAUAGAAAAAAAAUAUUUAAGAGCACAUGAAUCUCCACCUCCUAUCACCUUCACCUUCACCUUGUGGAUAGGAUAUGGAGAAGAGAGACAACAAGAAAAACAAGAAAGCGAAGAGCCCUAAUUCAUAUAUAGAGGUGGUGCAUAUGUAUAUAUAGAGUGUAGGACAGAAGUGCAGUAUGUGGCCAAAAUGGGAGGAAAUGAGAUUGGAGAUCAGAUCUUACAACUGGAUCAGUGGAGGAUGGUAGGGUUGAUGCCAUAUUGAAUAUUGAUUCAAAGAGAGAAUCCACAGAGAGAGAGAGACAUAAUAGGUAGAGAGUAAAGUUAAUGACAGAAGAGAGUGAGCACAUGCCGGUAGUGAUUGUAUGAUAGCAUACAAUUCUCGGUGUGUGCUCACUUCUCUUUCUGUCAUCUACUCAUCUCUCGAAUGUGUCUCUCUUAAUCUGACAUUAUUAUCUUCGUGAGAUAUGUAGGAUGAGGAAAUGGUGUUCGGUUCAAGGUAAGGAAGAUGAUAAACUUACUGACCUAGCGUAAGUUUUGCAGCUGAAAUGUUUAAUUUAAUUUUAAUUUUAGUAAUAAUUUUCUAUACUUAAUUAUAAUAUUAUAUUAAUUAUUAUAUUUUUUAGUGCAAUUGUGAGUGUGGCGAUGUAAUCAAAGCGUGGCUUUUUAUGGUACUUUUUUUAUUUUAAUUCAUUCAUUAUGUUGUUGAAUCCUAAACUGAAAUGGAGCUUCUCAAAGGUACGCAAUUUUACUAUUCAUUCUCUAACAGAAAAUUCAGAUUAUUUUAUGAAUCAAAUUUCACCAAAUACUUUUGUUUUUCUUACAUGAAAUCAUGCUUCUACCUUAAUCUGAUCCACAAUUUCUGCUUAACCCUAUUAAUUAAUUUGUGUUUGAUACAUAUAUAUUCUGUAGGGUAAAAUCCCUAAGAAAAUGGGAAUUCUUUUGAAGGGUCGUUUUCAAAUUAUGUAUAUGUCUUCUGGAUUGUAGCUAAAUAAGGUAAUGUUUUGUUUUAUUCCCUUUGUAGUAGCUAGCUAGGUCUGGAAUUGGAAUGGAUAUACUGGAAUUCAAAGCACCUACCCUCCUUAAUUAUAUAGAUAGCUGAGGAUAAUCUUUGUUGUUACUGUUUCCCGGAACUGCAAAAAGAAAACAUGAGUUCAAGCACUAUAUAUAGCUGUUCAGGUUUGCAUUUUCAUACAAGCUACGAUAAGAGAUUGGGAAAUUGCAAAACACAGAAGAUGCACGUUUAAUUGCAUCUCUACUUCAACUGAUUAUGGCCAUUACAGACGCGGCGGGUUACCUGCUGUAAAAACAGCACGCUGUUCCGUUAAUUUGAAAUCAGACAGUUUGGAUUGCACAUUAGUAAAAUCAACUAUAAACAAUCUCGGAUCUCAAUUCCAGAUCGAACGGUUAGGGGCGGGUGAGUUACUGUGUGACGACGCAGUUACUGCAUCUAACUCAAAUCCAUUACAUGAUGGUAGAAUAGCACAUGUAUCAAGUUUGAUGGCAUACAUCCUUUAGACAACAGCCUGGCAAGAUAAUUAAGCCAUGGAUGGAACAAACUCUUAUAAUAAGUUUAGUUUAUUAAGAAAUUCCAUAUUAUCUUGUUCCAAAAUCAUGCACCUCAUCUUGAGUUGAAACAUGAUCCUGACCUGACAAUAUAUAUUUUGUAAUGACAUACCAAAACAAUGUUUCUUUAUUUUUAAUGAUAGUGUAUUUAUUGUA